CUGAAAUCGACAAGGAAGGGACAGGCACCAUUUGUUUUGAAGAUUUUUUCGCCAUUAUGAGCAUAAAAAUGAGUGAAAAGGACGAGAAGGAAGAAAUACUGAAGGCGUUUAAAUUAUUUGAUGACGAUGCUACUGGAAGCAUAUCACUAAAUAACAUCAAGAGGGUUGCCAAGGAGCUAGGGGAAAACUUAACCGAAGAUGAGUUACAGGAAAUGCUUGAUGAAGCUGAUCGUGAUGGGGAUGGAGAGAUAAAUGAGGAAGAAUUCUUGAAGAUGAUGAGGAAGACCAGCCUUUAUUAGCUCUGCUUUGUGCUGUCCAAGACAGCUUGCCAGUUAAGCAGUUCAGUAAUGUAAUACCUUAGUGUACCCAUUUCCAUUUUUGUUUUGGUUAGUCCCUUGGUGUCUACUCUGUGCCAGAAGUUAUGUGUCCCUACCAAUGUCAUUAAAUCUGUAGUAGCAAGAAACAAACAAACAAACAAACAAACAAAAGCAUGAUUUAUUUGAACCAUGAACCACAAAAACAGUAUUUCCUUAUGCUAUUUUUAAAGCUGUAGAUUCCAAAGACAUUUAACUUUUUAUUUUUCAGUUGAAUAAACUUGACCCCCAAAUCCAGAUGAAAUUGUUUUUAAAAACAAUCUGAAAAUGGCAUUUUUCCAUUAUUUCCUUUUAAAUAACUUUUAAAAAGUUGAUAAGCGUGUUUUUUAAUCUGCUCCUCCAAUAUGUAAAGUGUUAAUAAAACUGGCUGAAGUAGUGU
rnacentral:lncRNA from 1 species